AGAACGAACGCUGGCGGCAUGCCUAACACAUGCAAGUCGAACGAGACCUUCGGGUCUAGUGGCGCACGGGUGCGUAACGCGUGGGAAUCUGCCCUUAGGUUCGGAAUAACAGUUAGAAAUGACUGCUAAUACCGGAUAAUGACGUAAGUCCAAAGAUUUAUCGCCUAGGGAUGAGCCCGCGUAAGAUUAGCUAGUUGGUGGGGUAAAGGCCUACCAAGGCAACGAUCUUUAGCUGGUCUGAGAGGAUGAUCAGCCACACUGGGACUGAGACACGGCCCAGACUCCUACGGGAGGCAGCAGUGGGGAAUAUUGGACAAUGGGCGAAAAGCCUGAUCCAGCAAUGCCGCGUGAGUGAUGAAGGCCUUAGGGUUGUAAAGCUCUUUUACCCGGGAUGAUAAUGACAGUACCGGGAGAAUAAAGCUCCGGCUAACUCCGUGCCAGCAGUCGC
rnacentral:rRNA from 1 species